rnacentral:rRNA from 1 species
CCGCGGGAUUAGAGUUUGAUCCUGGCUCAGAACGAACGCUGGCGGCGUGGAUAAGACAUGCAAGUCGAACGAGAUUUUUCGUUGUAGCAAUACGAUGGAAAAUUUAGUGGCGAACGGGUGCUUAACACGUGGGCAACCUGCCGAGAAGUGGGGGAUAGCUCGCCGAAAGGCGAAUUAAUACCGCAUGUGAUUAGAGAGGACAUCUUUUCAAAAUCAAAGUCGGGGCAACCUGACGCUUCUUGUGGGGCCCGCGGCCUAUCAGCUAGUUGGUGAGGUAAAGGCUCACCAAGGCUUUGACGGGUAGCUGGUCUGAGAGGACGACCAGCCACACUGGGACUGAGACACGGCCCAGACACCUACGGGUGGCAGCAGUCGAGAAUUUUUGACAAUGGGGGAAACCCUGAUCGAGCGACGCCGCGUGGAGGAUGAAGGUCUUCGGAUUGUAAACUCCUGUCAUUUGGGAACAAGGCGUACGUGUUAACUGCACGUGCGUUGAUAGUACCAGAAGAGGAAGGGACGGCUAACUCUGUGCCAGCAGCCGCGGUAAUACAGAGGUCCCAAGCGUUGUUCGGAUUCAUUGGGCGUAAAGGGUGCGUAGGCGGCGCGGUAAGUCGGGUGUGAAAUCUCGGAGCUUAACUCCGAAACUGCAUUCGAUACUGCCGUGCUUGAGGACUGGAGAGGAGACUGGAAUUUACGGUGUAGCGGUGAAAUGCGUAGAUAUCGUAAGGAAGACCAGUGGCGAAGGCGGGUCUCUGGACAGUUCCUGACGCUGAGGCACGAAAGUCAGGGGAGCAAACGGGAUUAGAUACCCCGGUAGUCCUGACAGUAAACGGUGCACGUUUGGUGUGGGAGGAUUCGACCCCUUCUGCGCCGGAGCUAACGCGUUAAACGUGCCGCCUGGGGAGUACGGUCGCA